rnacentral:rRNA from 1 species
CCUACGGGAGGCUGCAGUGGGGGAUAUUGCACAAUGGGGGAAAGCCUGAUGCAGCGACGCCGCGUGAGUGAUGAAGUCUUUCGGUACGUAAAGCUCUAUCCGCAAGGAAGAAAAUGACAGUACCUGACCAAGAAGCCCCGGCUAACUACGUGCCAGCAGCCGCGGUAAUACGUAGGGGGCUAGCGUUAUCCGGAUUUACUGGGGGUAAAGGGUGCGUAGGCGGUUUCUUAAGUCAGAGGUGAAAGGCUAGGGCUCAACCGGAGAAAGCCUUUGAAACUGGGGAACUUGAGUUCAGGAGGGGAGAGUGGAAUUCCUGGUGUAGCGGUGAAAUGCGUAGAUAUUAGGAGGAACACCAGCUGCGAAGGCGGCUUGCUGGACUGAAACUGACGCUGAGGCACGAAAGCGUGGGGAGCAAACAGGAUUAGAUACCCUUGUAGUC